AUGUUUCUGGUAGAUAUUUUUAAGUAACUUGAUAUAAUAGAUUAAAAUGUAUAUAUUUCAAAAGAGAAAAGGAAGCAGUAAGAAAUAAGAUAGAGGAGGGCCUUUGACAAGAUGGCGGCAGGAGGCAGUGGCGUUGGUGGGAAGCACAGCUCGAAAAGCGAUAACGAUUCUGGUUUCCUGGGGCUGCGGCCCAUUUCGGCGGACCCAGCGCUGAGGCGGCGGCGGCGGCGAGGCCCAAGAAAUAAGAAGUGGGACUGGCGGAGGCUUGCGCAGGAGCCGCUGGGGCUGGAGGUUGACCAGUUCCUGGAAGACGUGCGGCUACAGGGGCGCAUGAGCGGUGGCUUGUUGAGAGAGGCCCCAAAUGAAAAACUCUUCUUCGUGGACACCGGCUCCAAGGAAAAAGGGCUAAGAAGAGAACCAAAGUCCAGAAGAAGUCACUGCUUCUCAAGAAACCCCUUCGGGUUGACCUCAUCCUCGAGACACAUCCAAAGUCCCUGCCCCCAAAGACGUCCUCGCCCACCAGGUCCCGAACGCCAAGAAGCUCAGGCGGAAGGAGCAGCUAUGGGAGAAUCUGGCCAAGCAGGGCGAGCUGCCCCGGGAGGUGCGCAGGGCCCAGGCCCGGCUCCUCAACCCUCCCACAGCCGGGGCCAAGCCCGGGCCCCAGGACACCGUGGAGCGGCCCUUCUACGAACUCUGGGCAUCAGACAACCCCCUGGACUGGCCAUUGUUUGGCCAGGAUGAGUUUUUCCUGGAGCAGACCAAGAAGAAAGGAGUGAAGCGGCCACCACGCCUGCACACCAAGCCGUCCCAGGCACCCGCCGUGGAGGUGGCGCCUGCCGGAGCUUCCUACAACCCGUACUUUGAAGACCACCAGACCCUGCUCUCAGCGGCCCACGAGGUGGAGUUGCAGCGGCAGAAGGAGGCGGAGAAGCUGGAGCGGCAGCUGGCCCUGCCCGCCACAGAGCAGGCCGCCACCCAGGAGUCCACGUUCCAGGUAGCCGUGCGAGGGGCUGCUGGAGGAGUCAGAGGGUCCGGGGGAGCCAGGCCAGGGCGAGGGGCCGGAGGCUGGGGAUGCCGAGGUCUGUCCCACGCCCACCCGCCUGGCCGCCACAGAGAAGGAGACGGAGCAGCAGCGGCGGCGGGAGAAGGCUGCGCGCAGGCUGCGGGUACAGCAGGCCGCGUUGCGGACUGCCAGGCUCCGGCCCCGGCACCGGGAGGUGUUCCUGCUGCGCGGGAUCAAGGCCCAGGUGGCCCUGAGGCUGGCGGAGCUGGCGCGGCGGCGGAGGCAGCGGCAGGCACGGCGGAAGGCCGAGGCUGACAAGCCCCGAAGGCUGGGGCGGCUCAAGUACCAGGCACCUGACAUCGACGUGCAGCUGAGCUCGGAGCUGGCAGACUCGCUCAGGACCCUGAAGCCCGAGGGCGACAUCCUUCGAGGCCGGUUCAAGAGCUUCCAGAGGAGGAAUAUGAUCCAGCCUCGACAGAGAGCCAAGUUCAAACCCAGGUACAAGGUGAAGCUGGGGGAGAAGCGGGCGUUCCGCGAGAUCCAGUUGUAGCUCCCAUCAGAGGCCGGAGCCUCGCCUUUCAAUAAAAAGUCCCUUCUAGCUAAAAAAAAAAAAAAAAAAAAAGAGGAGGAAGAAUUGCAAAUAAAAUGGCAGGCAUAGUUCUAAGUGCUUUACAUAUGUAUUCACAGUAAACCUUCGAAAA